rnacentral:piRNA from 1 species
UAUUGACACUGGAGUUAGCAAUUAGCACU